UGAAACUGCGAAUGGCUCAUUAAAUCAGUUAUAAUUUAUUUGAUAGUACCUUUACACAUGGAUAACUGUGGUAAUUCUAGAGCUAAUACAUGCUAAAAACCCCGACUUCGGAAGGGGUGUAUUUAUUAGAUUAAAAACCAAUGCCCUUCGGGGCUCCUUGGUGAUUCAUGAUAACUUAACGAAUCGCAUGGCCUUGCGCCGGCGAUGGUUCAUUCAAAUUUCUGCCCUAUCAACUUUCGAUGGUAAGAUAGAGGCUUACCAUGGUGUUGACGGGUAACGGGGAAUUAGGGUUCGAUUCCGGAGAGGGAGCCUGAGAAACGGCUACCACAUCCAAGGAAGGCAGCAGGCGCGCAAAUUACCCAAUCCCAAUCCGGGGAGGUAGUGACGAUAAAUACUGAUGCAGAGCUCUUUUGGGUUUUGCAAUUGGAAUGAGUACAAUCUAAAUCCCUUAACGAGGAACAAUUGGAGGGCAAGUCUGGUGCCAGCAGCCGCGGUAAUUCCAGCUCCAAUAGCGUAUAUUAAAGUUGUUGCGGUUAAAAAGCUCGUAGUUGAACCUUGGGUUUGGCUGGCCGGUCCGCCUCACCGCGUGUACUGGUCCGGCCGAACCUUUCCUUCUGGGGAAUCUCAUGCCCUUCACUGGGUGUGUUGGGGAACCAGGACUUUUACUUUGAAAAAAUUAGAGUGUUCAAAGCAGGCCUAUGCUCGAAUACAUUAGCAUGGAAUAAUAGAAUAGGACGGCAGUUCUAUUUUGUUGGUUUCUAGGAUCGCCGUAAUGAUUAAUAGGGAUAGUCGGGGGCAUCAGUAUUGAAUUGUCAGAGGUGAAAUUCUUGGAUUUAUUCAAGACUAACUACUGCGAAAGCAUUUGCCAAGGAUGUUUUCAUUAAUCAGUGAACGAAAGUUAGGGGAUCGAAGACGAUCAGAUACCGUCGUAGUCUUAACCAUAAACUAUGCCAACUAGCGAUCGGAUGGUGUUUUAUUUUUG
rnacentral:rRNA from 1 species